GGUGGGAUGCAGCACAGAGGUGCCUAGGGAAGGAGCUGCGCAGGCAGGAGGGAGGGCGGGCAGGAGGGCAGGGCAGGAGAGCCCGGGGUGGGGAACCCAGGUGAGGCCAGCUCAGGGCUGAGCCCCAGAGGGCCCUGCACAGGUGAUGCCAACUCAGGGCUGAGCCCCGGAGGACCCUGCACAAAGCAGGCAGCAGCGUUGUGUCCUGGCUUUCCAAGCUUUUCCUUAAAAAAAAUCUAGCG
rnacentral:lncRNA from 1 species